UACAGAGGAUGCAAGCGUUAUCCGGAAUGAUUGGGCGUAAAGCGUCUGUAGGUGGCUUUUUAAGUCCGCCGUCAAAUCCCAGGGCUCAACUCUGGACAGGCGGUGGAAACUACCAAGCUGGAGUACGGUAGGGGCAGAGGGAAUUUCCGGUGGAGCGGUGAAAUGCGUAGAUAUCAGGAGGAACACCUGUGGUGUAGACAGCUUUCUGGACCAUUGCUGACGCUGAGACACGAAAGCGUGGGUAGCAAACAGG
rnacentral:rRNA from 1 species